CUAUACCAGCGCCGACAUCGUCGACUACACCUUCCCGGAUACGCCGCUCCGGGUGCGGCGUGCCGCCCAGGAGGUGAUUAAAGACAGCGACUACAUGGACAAGUACAAGGAGGCCGUGAGGAAAAUGAAGGAGCUGCCGGACGACCAUCCCUGGAACUUCUACCAGCAGGCUCUCAUUCACUGCGCAUACUGCAACGAGGCCUACGAUCAGGUGGGCUUCCCUACCGUCCCCGUCCAGGUCCACUACAGCUGGUUAUUCCUCCCCUGGCACCGCUACUACCUCCACUUCUACGAGCGCAUCCUUGGCAAGCUCAUCGACGACGACACCUUCACCCUCCCCUUCUGGAACUUCGACUCCGGCGACGGCAUGACGAUGCCGGAGAUCUUCACCGCCGACACGUCCUCACCUCUCUACAACGCCAACCGGGACACCUCCCACUACUCUCCGGCCAUCCUCGACUACAAGUACAGCUACGGCAACACGGCGGGCAGCGGGGAGACGGGGAGCGCUCUGGUGCUGACCAACCUGUGC
rnacentral:lncRNA from 1 species